rnacentral:lncRNA from 1 species
UGGGAAAGCCACUCCAACUUGACAUGGCUACAAUCAACAAAACUAGACCUAGUUGUGCUAGGGUCAAAGUACAAGUUGACCUUUUGUUCAAUUUUCUGAAGCACGUGGAGAUGGAGAUUAUCAAUGAGCAUACAAAAAAAUCAAGAAUGGAGCAGGUGAAAGUUCAAUAUGAUAGGUUGCCUAAGUACUGUAUGAGGUGUAAAGUUCAGGGUCAUGUGGAAGAUGAAUGUAGAGUCCUACAUCCGGAACUAAAGAAAGUUGAUGUAACUGAAAUACUUUGUACAGCAAGUGCUAAGGAAACGGCGGAAAAUACCAAUCUUGAUACAACAAGGAAAAGAAGGGUAAUUCGUAGCUACUGGAAUCCUACCAACAGGAGGUUUACCAGCGAUGGCCAUACUGUGGAACGCUCACAUAUUCACAUUCAAACUGAUGCAGCAGAGGUUACAUUUGUCAAUGCUCUUGCAGCACUUGAUACUGCCAAAAAGGAACAAGGUGAAGAGGGGACAGGAGCUGAAAAGAAGAGGAUACAUCAUGACAUACACAAAUCUAAUAGAAAAAGGGAUCAACAAUACUCCUUAACAAAGGAAUGGAUCUCAAAAACAUUCACAAAUACUGGGGAGGAAGGGGAAGGGAAAUUGAACAAGGUGUUGAAAGAUUGUUCUCAACAACAACAAUUAAAUGAAGUGGCUACAAGGGAUCACAACACAUCAAUAGCAACA